ACGAACGCUGGCGGCACGCCUAACACAUGCAAGUCGAACGCGCAACCCUGGGGUAACCUGGGGAAGCGAGUGGCGCACGGGUGAGUAACACGUGGGAACCUGCCCAAUUGUCUGGAAUAACCACUGGAAACGGUGGCUAAUACCGGAUACAGCCUCGAGGGUUAUUCCUUGGGGUGAAAGAUUUAUCGCAAUUGGAGGGGCCCGCGUCAGAUUAGGUUGUUGGUGGGGUAAUGGCCUACCAAGCCUACGAUCUGUAGCUGGUCUAAGAGGAUGGUCAGCCACACUGGGACUGAGACACGGCCCAGACUCCUACGGGAGGCAGCAGUGAGGAAUCUUGGACAAUGGGGGAAACCCUGAUCCAGCGAUGCCGCGUGAGUGAAGAAGGUCUUCGGAUUGUAAAGCUCUUUCGACAGGGAAGAUGAUGACGGUACCUGUAGAAGAAGCCCCGGCUAACUCCGU
rnacentral:rRNA from 1 species